UCUCUGAUGUCUCAAUAAGAUCUGCUUACCCUUCACUGUGUGCUCAGUAGAAUAGAAGGGAAAUGAAGAAACCUGUGGCUGAGAGA
rfam:Balearica pavonina gibbericeps contig104911, whole genome shotgun sequence.